UGUUCUCUUUGUAGAGCAUGACUGCAUUAAACUGCUACAAGGGCCAUAAAAAGCUGAGGGGGAGUUCAGGCAUCAAAUGUGUUUCCUGGAAGCCCGAGAACUGAAGUAAUCCACUGAGUGGUCUCCUGGCAUUGAUACAAGAAGGGAGGGAAUUUCAUGUACAGCACUGACCUUUACGGAUCAAAUAUUUUGUAUUUGUUCAGAGGCAUGUGCCUGUAAGUGUACGUAUCCUUUCAAACGCUUCAUCUAUAAUUUAUUUCUGUCCUGUCUUUUGAUUUGAACUUGCAAGUUAGCAGUUAUUUUCCUAUCACCCAAUUCUCCUUCUGUCAGAUGCCACGAAGGGCUCCAUUCAGGAGGUGGCACACACAGGGCUGCCAUAGGGUCUCUUUGCACUCGGGCACAUGGCAAGCAGGAGCUGCUCAGCCACAGCGUCAUUUGAAGUAGGACAACAGCAGACCCGUUAGAAUCCUUGAAUUAACCUUAAGAAGAAACCUCAGGGCCCGUCCCAGCCAUCCUGUCAGCCCCUAUGGAAACACCCAGCUGCCAGCAACCUCCUGUCCGACACUAAGCAAGAUCCAUCCAUGAGCCACUGGCUUGCUCUGACUGAUGGUACUUUCAAGAAUUAUUCCACAGGGAUAGGAAAGCCCCUUGGAGACACAAGCAUCUUGGAUAUAUAAAAAGGAAAAUAACGAAAAAAAACCAGCUGCAAGAAUACUGUGUGCCCAGCAACUGCAAUAAAAGCUCAAAUCGCAUCGCUUCACGUGCUGUGGGCAGAUGUCCUUGGGCAUCCAGAGUUUGAGCAUAAACACAGAGAUACAGUACAUAACACUCAUGAGGGCAUGUCAGUGAGCCAGGCCAGAAAGCAGCCCGGGAAUGUGAGAAACAACCCGUGUUGGCAAAGACUGAAACGGUCACCCCCAGCCAGCGCACGCCCCUGGUCCUUGAGGAGAGAACUAUCAAAACGUUCAGCAAGCCAAAGCCCUCUGGUAAUGCAACCAGAAACUGGGAAUGUCUGCACCAGCACUAAUGACACCUGCAGUGCCCACAAGGAACAGCAGUGCAGUAACAAUCUGAGUGCAGGAAUGCAACUGCCAAAAAGGAUCUUGCACACAGCUGCAAUUCAACAGCCAUUGUUAUUCAGGGAUCACCCAAUUCUUCAGUUUGGAUUCUUUUGUUCUCCCAUUAAAACAAAACCACGCUACUCUGGAUUAUUUGUUCACAUUUCCAUAAUUAUCAUGCUGUCAACAUUUCAUAUCCAACCCAGACACAUAAAUAUUCCUUAGGAAGGUGGGAGAAGGGUAAUUGAGCAAUCAGGGAUGAAUGAUGCAGAAACAGAGAUACAAGCAGAAUGCAAGGAACCUUGAAGAACAAAAACAGUUAUUUACCCAAAGAGAAGAGCAACAAGAAACAGACUGCCUAGGUGAAGCCGAGCAAAGAUGUCACCUGGGGGAGAAAUUCAACGGGAUAAAACAGCUUCCUUAUUUAACUGGUACAAUGCAGUCAGCCAUCCGAGAGGAGAGACUGCUCGUAUGCAAUACUCCUUUGCCUGUUCUUUAGUAGGAACAACCCUGACAGAGGCAGAAACAUCCUGUGAGGUGCUGAGCACUGCCAGCAUCCCAUGGGGAACAGAAGUGACACCAGGUGCUGCUGUGCCAGAGCUGCUUCCCUUCAUCACAUCGCCUGGAGAAGCCCUGAGCCCUGAGUCCUGUGAGCAGGGAUGCAGUUUCACUCCUCAAACUGUCAAAACUAACACAAGCCCACUAUCUCAGCUUAGGCUUUGAAUUUUUUU